rnacentral:lncRNA from 1 species
AUGCGUCGGCAACAAAUCUCCAAAAACCAAUAGAGUAAAUCACCCAAGCAAGACACUAGCAACGUGGAAAAGGACUUUAUUUAUGUAGAUAAAAGUAGUAAUUGAGAGAACAAGCAAUAAAGAACAAAAAGUAUUCUUUUAUAACAAACAAAUUGCAAACAAUUUUAAUUUGAAAAGCAAAAGAUAUACAAUUUCAAGAUAGACAUCCCACCAACAAAACUAGAAAACAAAACCCGAAAAUUCAUAAUAUAAUUAGAUUAUCAUAAAACAAAUCAACCUGCUCAAACGAAUCUUAAUAUCUUUAAUUAACUUUUCUACAAUCGUUGCGAAUUUCACCUCUAUUCCCUGUUAAUGGCUUUAUAUCACCCAUUUUAAUCAUAGACUCUGCAAAAUCCUCCCAGAACUCUUCGGCGUCCCCACUGUAUUUCAAAACAAGUUCAGCAGUUUCACCACCAUCCAAGAGUGCUUGAUCAGAGCUCAAAAGUCCUUUUUUACUCGCCAAACUGGAAAAGUAUUUCACAUCAAACGAGUUUGGUGUCGGGUCAAGUGGUGCGAGCCUUGAGUCGCCCCCAACUUGUGGACAAAUGGUCUGAAGGUGGCUCGCGAAGGCUGGAUCAAUGUUGGUCUCGUUGUAAAUACGAUCCCUAAAGUUUCGACACUGAGCAAACCCUAAGGUGUGUGCUCCUGAAAGCACAACUAAGUCCUCCUCGUCGAGCCCUUGGUCCUCAAAGUUUUUUAUAAGGGCAGGUAAGUUCAUGGACGGUGUCGGGAUGUUAGCGUUAGCUGCGCUUUGGCUAGCGGUGGUUGAGUCUCUUCUUCCGAGCCUGACUUUCCAUGAUGGGCCACCAAGCUGCAAACCAUAAAAAGAUUUAGAUUUACACAAAUAAUAUGUUUGUCACGCUAAAAUUUUAUUUCUUUUAUUUGUUUUCAUCAUUACAAAAAUUUGUUAAAGAGGGACACAUUCAUGAUUUUUUUUCAACUCCAUGAAAGUGAGAAUUU